AACUCUAUGGAUAAAAUUUAUUUGCUUUUAAAGAUAAACAAAUCAAUGAGUUAAAAUAGCAAAAUAAUAUUUGUUAAUAGUAACUCGUCGGAGUAUGUGUUUUAAAUAAUUUGCCUAAGUGAAGAAUACUCCACUAAAAUAAAUGAGAUGGGGAAGUUGAAGAGAGCAAGACAGAAAUACCACCUCUCCAGGGCUAAAGCAGCAGAAAACACAUGUACUGACACUCCAGAAAGUUUCCAGACAGAUGCAAGCAAUUCUACCUUGCUUAACUCUCUGCCAGAAAAUAUAUUCUCAGGGAUAGAAAUAUCAUUUAAAGAUUUGAAACAAGAGUUACCAGAAAAUGAUGCUGUAAGUGUUGUGUCCAGCAGGCAUGAUGCUCUGAAAAAGCCAAUUUCAAAGAAGGAAAAAAUUAAGUUACGUCAUGAGAUGUUUAUGAAAAAGUUGGGGGUAGUGAAUCAACUGAGGAAGGAAGCCAAGCAGAAGAGGAAAACAAAGACAAAAGCAACAGUUGUUACAAAUGACACAAAACCCUUGACCGAUUCUCUGCCAUCGUUAGAGAAACUGUCCAGAA